GGAAAUGGAACUAUGGAAGUGGAAUAUGCAGACAAAAAACACCAAACCACUUGCAGCGCAUGGACAUAAUCAACAAAGAAAAAGCCGAGCAUAAGCCAUGAAGUUUGGGAAGGAUUUCAAGACCCACCUGGAGGAAACCCUGCCGGAGUGGAGGGACAAGUUUCUCUGCUACAAGCCCCUCAAGAAACUCCUCAAGCAGUUCCCUGCAACUUCUGAUGUCUCUCUCACCCUUCGCCCCACUUUUCUACUCCAACAGUUUUCGCCUCUCCCCGAUGUUGUUGCCUCUUCUGCAUCUCCACCUGUUGAUGCCCCUGCUUCUGUUCAUCAUCAUGAUCCUGAGAGUGCUACAGACAGUUCCUUGGUGCUCCUCCAAGAAUGGUUCAUUAGAAUUUUGAAUGAAGAGCUUGACAAGUUCAAUGAUUUUUUUGUUGAUAAAGAGGAAGAGUUCACUAUCCGUUUUCAGGAACUAAAGGAAAGAAUUGAAUGUCUUAAGGGACAGAGCAGCAAGAAUGGAGUUUUUACAUCAGAGACUGAAUUCAGUGAAGAAAUGAUGGACAUUCGAAAAGAUUUGGUCACUAUUCAUGGGGAGAUGGUGCUUCUAAAAAAUUAUAGCUCCCUAAAUUUUGCAGGGCUAGUUAAGAUUUUGAAGAAGUAUGAUAAACGAACUGGAGGAUUGUUGCGUCUGCCUUUUACCCAACUUGCCCUUCAUCAGCCAUUUUUUACAACAGAAUCUCUAACAAGGCUAGUCCAUGAAUGUGAGGCGAAUCUUGAGCUCCUAUUUCCAUUGCAUGCAGAAGUCAUUGAAUCUACCAACGUUGCAGAAAGACAGCCAAAUCCACCUCUGAAUAACCCAGCAAAUAUCUCAUUUGAGUCAUCACGAACUCUUGGGGAUGACAACAUGGAUAUAUACCGCAGUACCCUUGCUGCAAUGAAAGCCGUAAGAGGCCUUCAAAAAGCAAGCUCCACCUACAAUCCACUGUCUUUUUCAUUUCUCUUCAAGAACCAGGAUGAUGAAAGUAACGGUGCUGUAACAGCUGAUAACUCAGCUUCAAACUCUUCAGCCACACUUACAUAAUGGAGAUGAGUUUGAUCAAGAAGAUGUGCAUUCUG
rnacentral:misc_RNA from 1 species